CCCUUAGAUGUUCUGGGCCGCACGCGCGCUACACUGACGAAUGCAACGAGCUUAUAACCUUGGCCGAAAGGUCUGGGUAAUCUCCAAAUUUCGUCGGGAUGGGGAUAGAUUAUUGCAAUUAUUAAUCUUCAACGAGGAAUGCCUAGUAAGCGCAAGUCAUCAGCUUGCGUUGAUUACGUCCCUGCCCUUUGUACACACCGCCCGUCGCUCCUACCGAUUGAAUGGUCCGGUGAAGCGUUCGGACCGUGGCCUUUGGACGGUUCGCCGUCUGUUGGCUGCGGGAAGUUCGUUAAACCUUAUCAUUUAGAGGAAGGAGAAGUCGUAACA
rnacentral:rRNA from 1 species